GGUUUCCGAAACGUUAUUCAAAUCUUCGAUCAUCUAAUCGAGCUGUUAGAUUUGAUCAACUGUUAACCAGUGACGAGUUUCUCAAACGUCGAUCAUCUUAAAAUUAUAUGAUCGUAGAAAAUCGAUUAUCUGACAUACGAUUUGGUAUCGAUACUGUCACAAUCGGCUGUCAUCCUUCAAAAUUUCAUUUUAUAACCAAAAAAUUUCAAUCCAUAGUAAAUAACUACAUAAUUUAUAUAAUUAAAAAAUAUAUUAAAAAUGAGCAAUACAAACGGAAAUCCUCCACGCAAAAAUUAUACUGAGAGAGAGAGAGAGAAAUGUUUGCUGUUGGAAAUAAUUGGAAAGUAAGUACGAAAUUUUCUAACUUACAGAACAAAUUUCUAAUUGUAUUUUUGUUUUCAGAUACAACCAUAUUAUAAUUGAAAACAAAUAAUGUACCAAUGCUAUGUCCACCAACCAAAACAAUGAAACCUGGGAAAAAAUAGCGCUGAAUUUCCCAGAACUCCCAAGCAGCUGAACACUGCAUAUAUAAACUUAAAAAGGGUCACUAGCCAAAAAGUAGCAGAGGAAAAUAUUCAAAAAUAUAAUGAGCAGAAGGUUUUGGACCAGUUGAAGAGAGACCAAACUGCGGACAAAAAAGACAUACUUGCAACAGGUGGUGGCACAUUUAGGCCUCGUCUCACAGAUGUAGGGGCACAAAUGUUGAGUUUGAUUGGCAAUCAAAUCCAACCUUUACCCAACAGUUGUGACAGUGCAUCUGGUUUCUUCACAUCUGUUGCACAAGACAGUCAAGUGGAAGUAGAUUACCUACAAUUGGAAGACACAUAGCAGACGUCCAAUGUACCCUCUACUUCCACUGUGCUGCUCAGUACACCCACGACAACUGCUGUCCUGCCCAAGAAGAAAGCCAAGAUGUCUCAGGCUCGUUCAAAAAAUAAAAAAGUAAAAGAUAUAGGGAGCGAAACCCUUAAUGUAUCUUUUACAAAAAAAAUUGAAACAGCAAGACUAGAAAAAAGAAGUAAGAUAGUAUUUUUCAACAAGAAAAAAAGAAAUUUUAGAAGUAGAGCUUCAAAUAAAAAAAUUCGAUCUCAAUAAAUUAUUCGGUAAUAGUGGUUAGGUAUGUACCUAAUAAAGUAAUUUUAAAUAAAAAUUGUAAUUUCUUUAAAUAAUAAAAUUAAUAAAAAAUGU
rnacentral:lncRNA from 1 species